rnacentral:misc_RNA from 1 species
ACCCCUUUCAGUGGAUGGCUCUAGUGCUCGUGCACUUUGCCGAUGUCGGCUUUCCUGUGCUGUAUUCCCAUCGAGAUGGCAAUUCGUCGGCUAAAUUUUUCAGUUUCCGCCCUGUGCUGCUGCUCCUCACGGAAAUGCGGCGCGGGGUGGUCCACAAAGCACACGUCGUGUUUCGCGAKCCACGCACUCGUGCGCGAGUUCUCGGGUUGGCGACCCACGGCGAUGCGCUCGAUCUCUCGGAUGCGGAAAAUCGGGCGGCGACGAGGAAACGGCCUCGGAUGCCCUUUGGUAAAGCGUUCUGCGCUUCGUGCGGACGACGGCUCUUCGGGUCUCGAUCUGGAGUCG